GAAAGUUUGAUUAUUUCUUAUGUCUUUAUUAGCUUUACUAAAUUUGUAUGAGAGUUUUAGCAUGUAAUAUCUAAUAGGUUAAAUACUUAUAGUAGUCAAUAUUGUUGUUAAGCUUUUGCGUUAAAAUUAAUUCUCAGCAUAUAAUAUUAAACAAUUUAAUAAAAUAAGAUUUAGUAGUAAGUUUAAGCCUGAUCAAUAUUGUGCCAGCAGUCGCGGUUAUACUAUAAGGCUAAGUAAAGAGUUAUUGGUUUAUUGUUAAGCGUAAGUUACCUAUAAGUAGGUUAAAUAAUUAUAGAAGUACCUAAGAGAAAAAAAGGUGAAAUUAAGCAGUUCUCCAUUUAGGAUGUAAGUAUAAUAUGAAUUGGAGCUGAAGCAAUAAAGGAUUGGACUUAAACUAGGAUUAGAUACCCUAUUAUACCAAGAUUUAAUUUGUAAACCUAAUUAGUAGUAGUUAUAUUCUUCAAAUUUGAAAAAUUUGGCGGUGAUUUAGUCUUGUCAGAGGAACCUGUUUUUGAAUCGAUACACCACGAAGCAUCUUACUUAAGCUUAAAUAAUUAAGGGUAUGUAUACCGUCAUUAUUAGGUAAUUUUUAUAGAAUUUAAUUACUGAAACAAAAUUGAUAAAGUUAAAUAUAUUAGAUCAAGGUGCAGCUUAUGCUUAAAGUUAAAAUGGGUUACAAUAUUACUUAAUAUAUAAUGGAAAAAUGAUUUAAAAAUCAUUUAGAAGGAGGAUUUGAUUGUAAGGUUAAUUUAAUAUGUUAAUCAGAUAUAAGCUCUAAAUCAUGUACAUAUCGCCCGUCGCUUUCAUUAAUAAUAUGAGAUAAGUCGUAACAUAGUAGGUUUACUGGAAAGUGAACCUGGAUAGGGAUUAAAAU
rnacentral:ncRNA from 1 species